AACUAAACUUUUUAUUACGCUUGACACCAAACGUAAGCCCAAUGCCCCAAUCCUUUGUUCGAGAACCGUCUGCUUGUCGAACAAAUGAUUGAACCUACGUUAUUCACCCAGGGUGAAUCAAUAAUUUUAAUAAUUUAAUUAAUCAGUAAUUCACCCAGGGUGAAUCACAGCUCCGUGGCCGUAACUGUAGAAGGCUAUGGCCUUGAUGGUGGUUGAUCAUUCGGUUCAAAAGAUUGAAUUAUAUUGAAAGUUAAAUGAACAAGCUUCCUGAUUGUAAUGAUUUUGUUUUGGAAUUCCACUGUUGCCAAAAUAUCUUCUGCUACUACCUCUACCAUUAUCAAAUCUUUUAUCACUUACUUAUCAAUGGACUAAAGCACCAGUUUCAACAGAUUUAGAAACAGAAAGGUGAUGUAAUUACGAUCAAUUGAGUUCGACUGUAUCAUCACAAAGUGAAGCAUCUAUCCAGAUGUCGUUCAAGAUUUUCUUUUUCAUCACAAAUUUUCAUCACGGCCCCAAGAAUAAUUCGCCUGCUGGGAUCUACAGGUUCUACCCAUUGACUAAAGUAAUCCUCUGUUUCUGGCUGAGUGAAUGUCUCGUUUUCCCGCAGAAACGGCCCCAAAUUGUUGAGCGAAUUCGCUUUGUAAGUUCAAACCCUCUACGCAUGUCCAGCUGAGAAGAAAUGUCUUCCGAAGCUGGCAACAUGGGCAUGGAUGGUCACAGAGGACUGAAGAUAGUUUGGAUUUUGGAACUUCAGGUUACUACUAAGUAUUUUUUCCCGAGAGGAACGCAAAAGCUGCUGCUAGAAGGUCACCUCAUCUUUCUCGACUUAAGGGCAGACUUUUAGGGACUUUGGGAUCUGGAAGUAAACAUCUGGAGUAAAUUCAGAUUGAAUUGUUGAGAAAUCUGGUCAAUCGGUUCAUCCAUCAAAUUGGCCUAGAAGAGGGAAUUCCUGAUGGAUUUGGUCGUAGACAUUUAUUUUUUUUAUUUUUUAUGUUUAUGGGUGGGGCACUGAAGAAGACAUCUGGCGGCAAGAUUUGUCUUCAAUUGUUGGCGCGUAGACUUUGGCCCUACCUCCUACCUUCUUCCUGGUUCCCUAUUAGUUGAAGCGUAUGUUUCGAGAGGUAAGGGACGUUAUUGUCGUUUGUUGGGGCUUGGGGGUUUUUAUGCUAGCUACAUUGCUUGAUGGAUGUAUUUCUACCUGUGAUGAUGGUAAGCGUGAUUAAUUUUGGUUUUGACGCAGAGUAACCCGGAGUAACCUCGAGAGUGUUAAGUGCCUUUUUGGAUUUGAAAACCGUGCUGUUCCACAUGUCCAGAAGCUGAGUGAAUGGCACCUUUAAAAUAUGGAACUUCACUUCAGCCUUCCAAUCUAGGACUUGUAUCUAAUUGUGCAGGCUGCGUGGAAUUCUCAUUUACCUUUGCUGUGAAUGUCAAUUGGAUGUACACUCAUUGAAGGCUAGUAAGGUGAAUAUUUUCAGUUUAUCUAAAAAAUGAAAUGUGUUGAGUUGGAAGAAAAACUUAAAUUUUCAGCAACAAAGCUUUGCUUUGGUUUAGUUUGGACAUUUUGGAGUUUCAUCAAGUUAAGAACUUUUUUUUAAAAAUUGUAUUUUCUUUUUGGGUUGUAAAAGGGAAAUUUGUUUUUCCCAAGAUAGGUUGACAGAAAGGAUAUUUGUCACUGUAGAGUUGAAAGAAUUUGUAUUUAAAAAGGAAAAGUUAUCUAGUUUCAUGUAAAUUUGUGUUCAAUGACAGGUAUCAGAUAAUGUUGCAGUAGAAUGUUUGGGUUAAUUCUAUAUGAAACAACAUAAGGUAGCAUUAAUUUUUUUUUUGUUAAUUGUGUUCUCAUAGUCCUGUUCAAUCCACCAAUUUGGCCU